UUCUCGCCCGUUCGCGGUGGUUAAACGAAACUCGUCAUCCUCGCGGGAUGAUAUAUCUCUCUAGCCAUCCGCUCUGGCUCGCUCCUCGAAAUCCACUGAAGCUCGAAGCUUCCACCUCGAAGUUGCGGGACCGUUUUUCUCCCACUCCUUCGAGGUUCUUUUCGUUCGGCCAAUCGUGGCCCUUCGCGUCACGCGAGUCACGCCCGGUGCCGCGGUGGCUUUUUCCCCCGGGAUUGCGGCUCGCGGUUCGCGUAUGCGAUCCCCGAUGCACGACCGUUAUUAUUACGUCACGGUAAUUUCCGUAAUUUAACGAAAUAAAUUAUUUGAAAUGAAAUAAAUAGCAUUGUUGGUCGGCCAUCGCGAGAUCGCCCGUACGCGUUUCGCUGAUCGCGUUUGCGCCUCUUAUUUUUAAUAAUUGAAAUUAUUUCAAUAAAUGUAACUUUGCAUGUAUUAUAAGAGAAAAUAAAUAUUCAAAGCAUAUUGCGUAUCGGUCGUUCUAAUUUGUAUGCAAAGUAAUGUUAAAAUGAUUUAUAAUAAAAUCGAAUAAUAAUUAUCAUCGAAAUAAAAUAAAAUAAGACAUAAAAUGUAAAAUAUAAAAAAAUAAGAUAAUGAAAAUAAUAUAUGUGAUUUAAAGAAUGAUUAUCUACACGAAAUGUAAAGUAAAAUAAAGUAAAGUAAUUAUCCUAGUUUUGUAUCGCCGGUUUCUUAUCUUAUUUGUCAUUGCUGUCGAGCGUUUGGAUGACAGGUUGCUGGUCUGCCUCGUGUUCGCCUCUCUUCUGCUGCGUUGUCACGUAUAUUGGCGUGACGGCCCUCUGCGGCGUUGAGGGUUCUGCGUCGCUGUUUCUUUCUCUCGUUCUUGGCGUUGGCGUAUCCGCCCUGGUUGGUUGUUCGGUGUCGCUUUUGCUUUUUAUUUCCUCCAUGAUCGUUUCAAUUUUCGCAUCAGACAUAUUUUUGUCGGGGUUUACGCUGGUUGAAUCGCCCUUUAGAAUCUACGCCCUUUAGCAUCUGUAAUUUAAUCGGGACAAAGUGAAAUUGCUGGUCGUCGACGGUGACAAACUAGCCCUGAAAAUGGAUAGCGCUGAAUCGUCGAGCCUAUACUCUGCCGUCAGCGGCAGGUGGGGCGGUGCGAGCGCGCGAGCGCGAGAGCCGUCACGAGGCCCUGACGAGUAGGAGGGUCGCGGCGGUGUGCGCAGAAGGGUCUGGGCGCGAGCCUGCCUGGAGCCGCCGUCGGUGCAGAUCUGGGUGGUAGUAGCAAAUACUCCAGCGAGGCCCUGGAGGACUGACGUGGAGAAGGGUUUCAUGUAAACAGCCGUUGCACUCGAGUCAGUCGAUCCUAAGCCCUACGAGAAAUCCUACGUCAAUGACGGCGUACUUAUACUCAAGUUUUUACUCUCUGUCUCGCACUCGCACACUCUCACUCGUCGCGCGUGACGCGCGCGCCCGCGUGCCGGGCGACGCUGUACGUCGCGCUGAACGACGAGCUGUGUGCUCGCGAGCUCAAGUGUUCUGACACACGCCCGUCGGGCGAAAGGAAAUCCGGUUCCUAUUCCGGAACCCGGCAGCGGAACCGCAUACAAUUCGGGCCCUCGUAAGUGUGUUCGUCGGGGUAACCCAAAAUGACCUGGAGACGCCGUCGGGAGAUCCGGGAAGAGUUUUCUUUUCUGUAUAAGCGUUCGAGUUCCCUGGAAACCUCUAGCAGGGAGAUAGGGUUUGGUUCGCGAAGAGCACCGCAGUUGCGGCGGUGUCCGGAUCUUCCCCUCGGACCUUGAAAAUCCAGGAGAAGGCCACAUGGAGGUGUCGCGCCGGUUCGUACCCAUAUCGGCAGCAGGUCUCCAAGGUAAAGAGCCUCUAGUCAAUAGACUAAUGUAGGUAAGGGACGUUGGCAAAUUGGAUCCUUAACUUCGGAAUAAGGAUUGGCUCUGAGGAGCGGGGCGUGUCGGGCUUGGUCGGGAAACGGGUUUGGCUGACGUGCCGGGCCUGGGCGAGGUGAAUGCUCGGCGUUCUCGCGCCGAACACGGGAUCCGAGCUCGGUCCCGUGCCAGGCUUCCCGCGGAUCUUCCUUGCUGCAAGGCUCCCGUGGCGGCGCGAGCCGUCGCAGUCGUCCUCUUCGGCCGCCAUUUAACGCUCAGCUCAGAACUGGCACGGACUAGGGGAAUCCGACUGCCUAAUUAAAACAAAGCAUUGCGAUGGCUCUCGCGGGUGUUGACGCAAUGUGAUUUCUGCCCAGUGCUCUGAAUGUCAACGUGAAGAAAUCCAAGCAAGCGCGGGUAAACGGCGGGAGUAACUAUGACUCUCUUAAGGGUCAGCCUCCUCAGCUCUUGAUACCCACUCAGUGGAUUCUUUGAGCUGUGGACUAAGGCCCCCUUACAGCGAGUCGUAGUUGGGACGCAAUGCGCAACGU
rfam:Solenopsis invicta Si_gnG.contig86410, whole genome shotgun sequence.